rnacentral:rRNA from 1 species
UACGUAGGGACCAAGCGUUGUUCGGAUUUACUGGGCGUAAAGGGCGCGUAGGCGGCGUGACAAGUCACUUGUGAAAUCUCUGGGCUUAACCCAGAACGGCCAAGUGAAACUGUUGUGCUAGAGUGCAGAAGGGGCAAUCGGAAUUCUCGGUGUAGCGGUGAAAUGCGUAGAUAUCGAGAGGAACACCAGAGGUGAAGACGGGUUGCUGGGCUGACACUGACGCUGAUGCGCGAAAGCGUGGGGAGCGAACAGG